AACGCGUUGGCCCAAUUGAUUGAUGGUGCUUGCACCUGAUUGAUUUUGGUCGCCAACGAGUGGCGGACGGGUGAGUAACACGUAGGUAACCUGCCCAGAAGCGGGGGACAACAUUUGGAAACAGAUGCUAAUACCGCAUAACAACGUUGUUCGCAUGAACAACGCUUAAAAGAUGGCUUCUCGCUAUCACUUCUGGAUGGACCUGCGGUGCAUUAGCUUGUUGGUGGGGUAACGGCCUACCAAGGCGAUGAUGCAUAGCCGAGUUGAGAGACUGAUCGGCCACAAUGGGACUGAGACACGGCCCAUACUCCUACGGGAGGCAGCAGUAGGGAAUCUUCCACAAUGGGCGCAAGCCUGAUGGAGCAACACCGCGUGAGUGAAGAAGGGUUUCGGCUCGUAAAGCUCUGUUGUUAAAGAAGAACACGUAUGAGAGUAACUGUUCAUACGUUGACGGUAUUUAACCAGAAAGUCACGGCUAACUACGUGCCAGCAGCCGCGGUAAUACGUAGGUGGCAAGCGUUAUCCGGAUUUAUUGGGCGUAAAGAGAGUGCAGGCGGUUUUCUAAGUCUGAUGUGAAAGCCUUCGGCUUAACCGGAGAAGUGCAUCGGAAACUGGAUAACUUGAGUGCAGAAGAGGGUAGUGGAACUCCAUGUGUAGCGGUGGAAU
rnacentral:rRNA from 2 species